AAUUGUUAUUGCCACAUUGCCAGACAGGACACUGGAUAAAAAGGUCACUUUUCCUGACCGCAGCAGCAACAAGCCCUCUUAAAACUUCCUCUGCGGGGUUGAGGUAAUGCCUUUACAUUGGGGUGCGUUGGUCUUAACAACUCCAGAUUACGCCUACUCCUGGUUUAAUCUAAGCCUUGUCAGUGAAACAGGCCCUGUAUGUUUAGUGUGAACGUUUGUGCCAGACUAUUCUCUGCUUUCUGGGUGAGCAAUAUUAGUGGAAGCCAGCGCAAUUAAGCAGAAUUCGUUAGCCUUAAUGCAGCAUCCUGCAGGAUUUAAAAGGCGGUGAUGAUGCCAGUUUGUCUGAAUGCAGGCUGCAGUAAUGUCAGCCUGUCUCAUCUGUGUUAGCUUCAUUUCUACAUGUUUGUCGAGUCUUGCUUCAUUUUUUUCCAGUCCACCUGAUCCUGGAAAUGUUCUGAUAAUCUACAGGUGAAGUCAAGCUUGGCUUCAGUUUCAGUGCUGCUGGCAGAUCUGUUUUCUCUUGGCUUUUAAUGUGAACAGUAAUAAUAAAGCUGUAUUGUGAAGAUCAUCCUGUAUUACUACAUCACAUCAGAUCUUCUCUUACCUUCCCCUGUUGAAUGAAGAACCUGGCUCUGUAAGAGAACCGGGCUCUGGAAAAGAUCCAGCAGUUUUAUGGUGGUUCUGCAAAACAAAGCCAAUAAAACUGUUUAAAGUACUAGAUUUAAAUACUUGCCAAAUUCCAAGAUUUGUGAUAAUCCAAAAAUAUCUAAGAGUGAUCAGUCCCUGAACUUAAUUCUUAAAUAAAAACAGAUAUAUGUAAAAUAUUUCUAAAUAUAAGUAUCUUUCCCUCAACAUUUACUGAGAAACUACAUAUAUCUAUAUAGAUAAAUACAGUACGUUUGAACAUGAAAACCCUUUCCACACCCGAGACGUUAUUUUUUAAAGAUUCGUAGAAAUCAGCUGCAGGUCUGGCUGGUUUAUUUCCUCAGAUGAUAUGGCAGAUUUUGAAAGCAGAGCUUGAUGUUCCAGCGAAGGGAAGCUGUGAGUCAGGAAUGUUUCUGGGCGGCACAGAAAGCUGAGUAUAAAAGCUCUGCAGCUCCACCUCCUCACAGCAAACGGCUGCAUGUGAAACUCAGUCCCUCUACCUGCAGCACAGCCUCAAGGUAAGACGCAGGCUUUUCUAACGCCGUGUUUUCACAGGGUUUAGGGGAGGAUUGAACCUUGUGUGUGUGUUCUUCCAUUCCUGUGAAGUCUUAUUGGAAAAAAACUGAAACAGUGUAGGAGCCAAGAGUAGUUCCACUAAAGUUCCUUUGGCCUUACUUUACCUCUGUGGUGAUCCAGUAAAAACAUUCUAGAACUAAUCAUUCUUUGGAAAGUGUUUUCAGUUAUCAAUACAAACAGGAUUCAACCUUGGCAAUAAUAAAAGAUCAGGCCGUUCUCUUCAGUACCAUACUGAUGAUUUCCUCCAUAAGGGUAACUCAGGAGUUUUAAUCAGGAUAAAUCAUGUCUGCUUUGGUUUCUACAGAUGUUUGCAAGAAAGUCUCAAUCGAUUAUCCAAUGUUUAGGAGCUGAAGACGAUCUCAUCUAUAAUGAAAAUGUGAAUGAAAGAAUUGAGUUGCAGACUCUAGUUAAGAUCACCAAAAUGAAAUUAAAGAAAACCAUAAAGUACACGUUUCUGAACCUAAGUCUAGUCGAUCUGUUGGAAGAUGCAACUGCUGGUGGAAUAGAUCCUGAAGCUUUAGUGAACAGAGACAUCGAGGUGCUGAGUGACGUCUCCACUUAUUUGAAAAAACAAACAAAUACCUCAGUAAAAGGCAAAAAUGAGGCUGAAAUCGUGAAUAAUAGGAAGACUAAGGACUUAUCAACAGCCUUCACUGUGAAGAAAGACAUGGUGGACUUAAGGAAACUGAGAGAAACCUGCAACAACAGAAAGAUGAACAGGACAUUCAACGAAAUCAUUACCAAGAAGACGGAGACGCUGGCUUUUGUUUAUCAGGUCUUCUAUAAUCACACGACUGUCACUCUUCAAAAUAAAGCUCGAGUGAGAUCUCAGUUAAAAGCCCUGAUCCUGGAAGCCAAGAAAUGGGGAAAGGAGAGGACUGAAUUCACUGUGCCUGUAAACACCACCUUUGCUUUUGGACUCAUGGAAGUAACUGCAGAGAGCAAUAAGAUCGAAAUCCCGAUUAGAAAGACAAACAUCAAACGAAUUUCUAGGAAUCCUAAACCUUUGACACGAUAAUAAAUAAAAGUACUUUGCACCGACUUACCCAGAAAUUUUCUCUUUCAGUGUUUUAAGCCCGAAUGAUGAAGAUGAUGAAGAUGACGAAGAUGAUCCAUGAUGGGUUGAAGAAAGCAGCUCCUCUAGACGAGGAGGAUGAAGAUGUUUCAGUGUAAUCGAUGAUAAUGUAGAUCUACCAGUUUACGUUGCCUUCACAUCUUCUGCCUUUACUUCCUGCUCUUUCUACUCACCUCAUCGCUGUCGCCACAGAAAGUCACAGUGCAUCCGUCUACUAGAACUCUUUUCAUGGCUGGUUGUUAAUCAUCUCGCCAGCAUCUUUCAGAAACAAUCUUUUAUAUUUUGAAAAGUUUAAUAAAAGA